rnacentral:lncRNA from 1 species
UGCGUAUAACCUUAUUAGGAAGGAUAAUGAGGUGGUUUCUUCGCCGGUUUUCCGUAAGUUAUGGGGGUCCAAGGCAAUUCCUUCAGCAGGGCUUUUGGCUUGGAGGGUGUUGGAAAACAAGCUUGCUACUAGGGUUAAUCUUAGUAGAAGAGGGGUGCAGUUAGAAAGUUUGUGGUGCGUAUUUUGCAGGAAAGAGGAAGAGUCUGGUAGUCACUUGUUCUUUG